UGGGUAACCUGCCCUGUACUCUGGGAUAAGCCUUGGAAACGAGGUCUAAUACCGGAUAUGACACUGGAUCGCAUGAUUCGGUGUGGAAAGUUCCGGCGGUAUGGGAUGGACCCGCGGCCUAUCAGCUUGUUGGUGGGGUAAUGGCCUACCAAGGCGACGACGGGUAGCCGGCCUGAGAGGGUGACCGGCCACACUGGGACUGAGACACGGCCCAGACUCCUACGGGAGGCAGCAGUGGGGAAUAUUGCACAAUGGGCGAAAGCCUGAUGCAGCGACGCCGCGUGAGGGAUGACGGCCUUCGGGUUGUAAACCUCUUUCAGCAGGGACGAAGCGCAAGUGACGGUACCUGCAGAAGAAGCACCGGCUAACUACGUGCCAGCAGCCGCGGUAAUACGUAGGGUGCGAGCGUUGUCCGGAAUUAUUGGGCGUAAAGAGCUCGUAGGCGGUUUGUCGCGUCGGCCGUGAAAACUUGGGGCUUAACUCCAAGCUUGCGGUCGAUACGGGCAGACUUGAGUUCGGCAGGGGAGACUGGAAUUCCUGGUGUAGCGGUGAAAUGCGCAGAUAUCAGGAGGAACACCGGUGGCGAAGGCGGGUCUCUGGGCCGACACUGACGCUGAGGAGCGAAAGCGUGGGGAGCGAACAGGAUUAGAUACCCUGGUAGUCCACGCCGUAAACGGUGGGUGCUAGGUGUGGGGGGCUUCCACGCCCUCUGUGCCGCAGCUAACGCAUUAAGCACCCCGCCUGGGGAGUACGGCCGCAAGGCUAAAACUCAAAGGAAUUGACGGGG
rnacentral:rRNA from 1 species